CGCCCUCGUCACACUUUCUCGCGGUAGCCUCUCCACUAAGAAUCCACGGGAGGAGUACAACAGGUGGAUUAUGGUGGUCACGGCGGCUGCCGGACGACGGCAGUUGGUGGACGAAUGCAGCCUCACAGCUCGUUUUGUUAUCGCGUUGAGGAGGCAGUGGUGGAGGCAGAGGUGCGGUGUUUUUGUUGAUGGAUCAAGGACGACCGCUUCCUCAACCUCCCUGCGAUGCAGUGUAUGGACCACUACAUGUUCUGUUGACGCAAGACUGGUCCGCCGGCGCUUCUGGCCUCCCAACCAGGAUUCUCUUCCACCGGGAGGCCAGUGAAGCUAGAGCGGAGUGGUGGAUAUGUGGCUUAGCUUUUCGUCAAUGGCAUGCUCUGCUUGAGCUCGAAGAGUACUAGCUGAAGGAACUGCGAUGAAACUCUGGCAGAGCAAUUAAAGAAACAGAUUUCAGCUUCCUAAUGGAUGACAUUUGGCUUAUGAAGUAAAAAAGAUAUCCAGCUGGCAGGGCAAUAUUUUGGUUGAUCUCAUUCUCUUCUUUCGUCAAGGCUAGGAGACACUUUCCGCAAGGUGCUAAAUAAGUGAAAAACUGGCAUCUAGCCCCCCCCCCCCAACAAUGUUCUUCCAGCUCAAAGUUUUGAAAUUGUGAUGUGAUGUAGCAGAAAGGAAUGAUCUGUGGAUGACUGUAUGGCUUGCAAGAGACUGAGAUUGUCACACCAUGAGAGUAUGCAAAGGUCCUCCAUUCUGAUGAGAAAUUUGACAUUGCAAGAGCCAACGAUAUCUGAAUUGAGUGUUCUAAUAUUGCACAACAGUAAAUCUCAAAGGAUGAAGUUGGUUAUAGUACAGGAGAGAAAUUUCUUCAUAGCAAUGACCAUCAGACCACCACUAGCAGGGACCAGCCAGAGAUAAUGGUAGAAGGAUACAAAUGCUUAUAAGUAACCAAUGGAGACUUGUGUUGCCUCAAAAGAAUGGGCAUGGAUGGGAAACUGCUUUUGGUCAAUGGAAAGCAUGUGUUAUCCUCAAAACGGAGCUCAAGGAUGGGGAUAUAGUUGAGUUCGGAGUUGCAGUUUUCUCAAAAUAUUACUUCGUAUUUUAGGAGGCUUGCUCCAGAAGUUGUAACAAUUAUUUGGGAAUGCAAGAGACUGAAGAUCUGUAUAUGUAGUGAUGAAGAGAAAAAUCCUCAAAUGUGGUAUAUUUGUGGAAAAUAACCAAAGAAGGCAGGAUAUGUUAUUUUAGAAAA